UCUGAUGCAGCGAUGCCGCGUGAGUGAAGAAGGCCUUUGGGUUGUAAAGCUCUUUCGUCGGGGAAGAAAAUGACUGUACCCGAAUAAGAAGGUCCGGCUAACUUCGUGCCAGCAGCCGCGGUAAUACGAAGGGACCUAGCGUAGUUCGGAAUUACUGGGCUUAAAGAGUUCGUAGGUGGUUGAAAAAGUUGGUGGUGAAAUCCCAGAGCUUAACUCUGGAACUGCCAUCAAAACUUUUCAGCUAGAGUAUGAUAGAGGAAAGCAGAAUUUCUAGUGUAGAGGUGAAAUUCGUAGAUAUUAGAAAGAAUACCAAUUGCGAAGGCAGCUUUCUGGAUCAUUACUGACACUGAGGAACGAAAGCAUGGGUAGCGAAGAGGAUUAGAUACCCUCGUAGUCCAUGCCGUAAACGAUGUGUGUUAGACGUUGGAAAUUUAUUUUCAGUGUCGCAGGGAAACCGAUAAACACACCGCCUGGGGAGUACGACCGCAAGGUUAAAACUCAAAUGAA
rnacentral:rRNA from 1 species